rnacentral:rRNA from 1 species
AGUGAACGCUGGCGGUAGGCCUAACACAUGCAAGUCGAACGGCAGCACAGUAAGAGCUUGCUCUUACGGGUAGCGAGUGGCGGACGGGUGAGGAAUACAUCGCAAUCUACUUUUUCGGGGGGGAUAACGUAGGGAAACUUACGCUAAUACCGCAUACGACCUACGGGUGAAAGCAGAGGAUCUUCGGACCUUUCGCGAUUGAAUGAGCUGGUGUCGAUUUAGCUAGUUGGUGGGGUAAAGGCCCACCAAGGCGACGAUCCGUAGCCGGCCUGAGAGGAUGAUCAGCCACACUGGAACUGAGACACGGUCCAGACUCCUACGGGAGGCAGCAGUUGGGAAUAUUGGACAAUGGGCGCAAGCCUGAUCCAGCCAUACCGCGUGGGUGAAGAAGGCCUUCGGGUUGUAAAGCCCUUUUGUUGGGAAAGAAAAGCAGCAGGUUAAUACCCCGCUGUUCUGACGGUACCCAAAGAAUAAGCACCGGCUAACUUCGUG